CUUGGUUCCAUGGGCUCCCGUGGUGCCACAAUGAUCCCCUUGGUUCCAUGAGGUCCCCACAGUGUCACAGGGAUCUCCAUGGGAAGGAAAGAACCAAGCCCCAGUGUGGCAGGGGCAGCCACCAGAGGCCAGGGCCAGCCAGACUUGACGGUACUGGCAGAUUUUGGCUGGGAGCAACCCUUGGAUAUAGGGAAUUUUAGAGGUGGAAUCCCAAUUUCAUACAUGGACACCUGGAGGAGGAGGACAUUUCUGUUCCAUAGGAAGGAAAGCACAGAACAACGGUGUUUGAGGGGCAGAUGAAAGGCAGCCAUUAGAGGCCUAAGGCAGCCAGAACUCUCUGUCCUGGUAGCUUUUAUCUAAAAGUAACCCUUGGAUAUAGGGAAUCUGGGAGGUGGAUCCCCAUUUUCAGCCAUUUCUGCACAGCUUUUGUCAUGGAGGAAACCUUGGAUAUAUGGAAUUUAGGAGGAGGAAUCUCAAUUUUGACCAUGGAUAACUUGAGAAGAAGGACGGUUCUUUUUCACUGGAAGGAAAGCACUGAGUCCCAGUGUUUUGAAAGCAGGUGAGAGGCACCCCCAAGAGGCCAAGGGCAGACAGACCUUUCUGUCCUGGCUGCUUUCACUGGGGAGCAAUCCUUGGAUGUACGGAGUUUUGGAAGUGGAAUCCCAGUUUUGGCCAAGGAACCCUGGAGGAGAACGACAGUUCUCUCCCAUAGGAAGGAAAGCCCAGAGCCCCAGUGCUUCGGGGCAGGUUAGAAGCAGCCCUGUUGCUUCUUUUCUCUCCAACUUCCUUGUUUUUGCCCGGCUCUUCUUUCCCGGGGUGCUGGCCAGGCGCUUCCGGGAGCAGCCGGAGAGAAGCGACAAACACCUUUGUGGUUCUUUUGAUACAGACAGAGCUGUUUAGAGAGUGCGAUCAAGACCGGAAUAAAGAGACUCAAGAGAUUGGA